rfam:Picea glauca, whole genome shotgun sequence.
UCUUAUGUACAUUCCUACAACAUAGUGUUAAUGCACAAGAUUCCAUUAGAACUUUGCAAUUAAGUGUGUUCAGGUUAGAGUAGUACUGGGAUGGGUGACCACAGAGAAAGUUCUAGUGUUUUAUGUGCC